rnacentral:rRNA from 1 species
AUUGAACGCUGGCGGCAGGCCUAACACAUGCAAGUCGAGCGGAUGAAGGGAGCUUGCUCCUGGAUUCAGCGGCGGACGGGUGAGUAAUGCCUAGGAAUCUGCCUGGUAGUGGGGGAUAACGUCCGGAAACGGGCGCUAAUACCGCAUACGUCCUGAGGGAGAAAGUGGGGGAUCUUCGGACCUCACGCUAUCAGAUGAGCCUAGGUCGGAUUAGCUAGUUGGUGGAGUAAAGGCCUACCAAGGCGACGAUCCGUAACUGGUCUGAGAGGAUGAUCAGUCACACUGGAACUGAGACACGGUCCAGACUCCUACGGGAGGCAGCAGUGGGGAAUAUUGGACAAUGGGCGAAAGCCUGAUCCAGCCAUGCCGCGUGUGUGAAGAAGGUCUUCGGAUUGUAAAGCACUUUAAGUUGGGGGGAAGGGCAGUAAGUUAAUACCUUGCUGUUUUGACGUUACCAACAGAAUAAGCACCGGCUAACUUCGUG